rnacentral:rRNA from 1 species
GACGAACGCUGGCGGCGUGCUUAACACAUGCAAGUCGAACGGAAAGGCCCUGCUUGCAGGGUACUCGAGUGGCGCACGGGUGAGUAACACGUGGGUGAUCUGCCCUGCACUUCGGGAUAAGCCUGGGAAACUGGGUCUAAUACCGGAUAGGAGCCAUUUUUAGUGUGAUGGUUGGAAAGUUUUUUCGGUGUAGGAUGAGCUCGCGGCCUAUCAGCUUGUUGGUGGGGUAAUGGCCUACCAAGGCGGCGACGGGUAGCCGGCCUGAGAGGGUGGACGGCCACAAUGGGACUGGGAUACGGCCCAGACUCCUACGGGGGGCAGCAGUGGGGAAUAUUGCACAAUGGGCGGAAGCCUGAUGCAGCGACGCCGCGUGGGGGAUGACGGCCUUCGGGUUGUAAACUCCUUUCGCUAGGGACGAAGCUUUUUGUGACGGUACCUAGAUAAGAAGCACCGGCUAACUACGUG